UACAGAGGUCCCAAGCGUUGUUCGGAUUCAUUGGGCGUAAAGGGUGCGUAGGCGGCGGGGUAAGUCGGGUGUGAAAUCUCAGAGCUCAACUCUGAAACUGCACUCGAUACUGCUCUGCUUGAGGACUGGAGAGGAGACUGGAAUUCACGGUGUAGCAGUGAAAUGCGUAGAUAUCGUGAGGAAGACCAGUGGCGAAGGCGGGUCUCUGGACAGUUCCUGACGCUGAGGCGCGAAGGCCAGGGGAGCAAACGGG
rnacentral:rRNA from 1 species